rnacentral:tRNA from 1 species
UCCUCGAUGGUCUAACGGUCAUGAUUUCCGCUUGUCACUCGCUUGAGAACAAGCGCGGGAGACCUGGGUUCGACUCCCAGUCGGGGAG